rnacentral:rRNA from 1 species
GGGUUGUGAGGUUAAGCGACUAAGCGUACACGGUGGAUGCCCUGGCAGUCAGAGGCGAUGAAGGGCGUGCUAAUCUGCGAUAAGCGCCGGUAAGGUGAUAUGAACCGUUAUAACCGGCGAUACCCGAAUGGGGAAACCCAGUGUGACUCGUCACACUAUCAUUAACUGAAUCCAUAGGUUAAUGAGGCGAACCGGGGGAACUGAAACAUCUAAGUACCCCGAGGAAAAGAAAUCAACCGAGAUUCCCCCAGUAGCGGCGAGCGAACGGGGAGGAGCCCAGAGCCUGAAUCAGCAUGUGUGUUAGUGGAAGCGUCUGGAAAGGCGCGCGAUACAGGGUGACAGCCCCGUACACAAAAGCGCAUGUGCUGUGAGCUCGAUGAGUAGGGCGGGACACGUGGUAUCCUGUCUGAAUAUGGGGGGACCAUCCUCCAAGGCUAAAUACUCCUGACUGACCGAUAGUGAACCAGUACCGUGAGGGAAAGGCGAAAAGAACCCCGGCGAGGGGAGUGAAAAAGAACCUGAAACCGUGUACGUACAAGCAGUGGGAGCACAGGUUUACCUGUGUGACUGCGUACCUUUUGUAUAAUGGGUCAGCGACUUAUAUUCUGUAG